GUUUAUAACAUGAUGCAUGAAGUCAGAAAACGAAUUAAAAAUAAACAACAAUCAUGCAGUAUUACCUAUACUCAUGAGCAACAACCUAUUUUUCGAUUCACUAACACACUGUCACACAUGUAUCUGUCGCUUGUCGAUAUGAUGCUGGGGACCGUGCUUGGUGGGGAGUUUAACUGGGGCGGUUGCCUCCUAAAACGUAACGGAGGCGCACAAAGGUAGGCUAGGUCCGGAUGGAAAUCGGACUGAUAGUGUAUUCGCACAAGCCUGCUUGACUGAGAGACCUACAAGUCGAUCAGAGACGAAAGUCGGUGAAAGUGAUCCGGCACCAACAUGUGGGAGUGGUGUCGCUCAACGGAUAAAAGUUA
rnacentral:rRNA from 1 species